GGUUAAUGCUAGCGGUGCGCCUAACGCAUGCAAGUCGAACGGAGAAUUUAUUUCGGUAAAUUCUUAGUGGCGAACGGGUGAGUAACGCGUGGGCAACCUGCCCUUCAGAUGGGGACAACAUCCCGAAAGGGGUGCUAAUACCGAAUACGAUCACGCUGCCGCAUGGCGGUGUGAUGAAAGAUGGCCUCUAUUUAUAAGCUAUCGCUGAAGGAUGGGCCUGGGUCUGAUUAGCUAGUUGGUGGGGUAACGGCCUACCAAGGCGAUGAUCAGUAGCCGGUCUGAGAGGAUGAAGGGCCACAUUGGGACUGAGACACGGCCCAAACUCCUACGGGAGGCAGCAGUAGGGAAUAUUCCGCAAUGGACGAAAGUCUGACGGAGCAACGCCGCGUGAGUGACGAAGGUUUUCGGACUGUAAAACUCUGUUGUUUAGGACGAAAGUGCCUGUUGCAAAUAGUUGCAGGUAUUGACGGUACUGAACGAGGAAGCCACGGCUAACUACGUGCCAGCCGCCGCCGUAA
rnacentral:rRNA from 1 species